UAUUUUUCUGGGUCAUAACUCAGGAACCGAAAGAAAAAAAAUAAAACUAAAAAUUAGGGCACUGCGCACGAACUGCUGCGGGAUUUCAUGGUUUCCAGAUUGGGAACGUUUCGAAACCUUGCAUAAAGGAAAUGAAAAAUCUUGAAGAUUCGUGGCACGGGUUCAGCAUUCAAGGUGCAGCUAAAGCUGUAUGCUAGAACUAACGAAUCGACGCUGAACUUAUCCAGACGUGGAGCUUUCAUCCGAAUUUGGUAGGACCUCAUGCUUUCAAGGAUGCUUACUAUUUUAUUCUAGCAUUAGAUGUAGGCAUUAGCUAGUGGCGUAUGUUCCACUAGUAUUUCUUUCCUAGUUAUUUCAGAUAUUGUAUU